rnacentral:rRNA from 1 species
UACAGAGGGUGCAAGCGUUGCUCGGAUUUACUGGGCGUAAAGCGUACGCAGACGGUGAGAAAGGUCGGAUGUGAAAGCCCCGGGCUCAACCCGGGAACUGCAUCCGAAACCAUCUCGCUAGAGUAUGGGAGAGGGAAGCGGAAUUCCUGGUGUAGAGGUGAAAUUCGUAGAUAUCAGGAGGAACAUCUGCGGCGAAGGCGGCUUCCUGGCCCAUUACUGACGUUCAGGUACGAAAGCGUGGGUAG